AUUGAACGCUGGCGGCAGGCCUAACACAUGCAAGUCGAGCGGAGCGGCGGACGGGUGAGUAAUGCCUAGGAAUCUGCCUGGUAGUGGGGGAUAACGUCCGGAAACGGGCGCUAAUACCGCAUACUAGCAGAUGAGCCUAGGUCGGAUUAGCUUGUUGGUGGGGUAAAGGCCUACCAAGGCGACGAUCCGUAACUGGUCUGGGAGGAUGAUCAGUCACACUGGAACGGGGAAACGGUCCGGACGCCUACGGGAGGCAGUAGUGGGGAAUAUUGGACAAGGGGCGAAAUCCUGAUCCAGACAUGCCGCGUGGGUGAAGAAGGUUUUCGGAUUGUAAAGCACUUUAAGUUGGGAGGCGUUACCAACAGAAUAAGCACCGGCUAACUUCGUGCCAGCAGCCGCGGUAAUAC
rnacentral:rRNA from 1 species